CCUACGGGUGGCAGCAGUGAGGAAUAUUGGUCAAUGGGCGGGAGCCUGAACCAGCCAAGUCGCGUGAGGGAUGACGGCCCUAUGGGUUGUAAACCUCUUUUGCCGGGGAGCAAAGUGCCGCACGUGUGCGGUUUGGAGAGUACCCGGAGAAAAAGCAUCGGCUAACUCCGUGCCAGCAGCCGCGGUAUUACGGAGGAUGCGAGCGUUAUCCGGAUUUACUGGGUGUAAAGGGAGCGUAGACGGCAGCGCAAGUCUGAAGUGAAAUCCCAUGGGUUAACCAUGGAACUGCUUUGGAAACUGGGCAGCUGGAGUGCAUGAGAGGUAAGCGGAAUGCCUAGUGUAGCGGUGAAAUGCGUAGAUAUUAGGAGGAACACCAGUGGCGAAGGCGGCUUACUGGACUGUAACUGACGUUGAGGCUCGAAAGCGUGGGGAGCAAACAGGAUUAGAUACCCCAGUAGUC
rnacentral:rRNA from 1 species